AAAUUACUCCCUCCGUUUUAAAAUUCUUGUCUUAGAUUCGUCUAUAUAUGAAUAUAUCUAAUCUAAAACGUGACUUGAUAUAUCCGUAUUUAGAUAAAUUUAAGACAAGAAUUUUGGGACGGAGGGAGUAAUUA
rfam:Triticum urartu cultivar G1812 contig275355, whole genome shotgun sequence.